GCCCUCGUAGUCUAGCGGUCAAGGAUUCCGGCCUCUCGAGUCGGAGACUCGGGUUCAAAUCCCGACGGGGGCA
rnacentral:tRNA from 1 species